UGCUGCUCAGGAGCCAUAGCAGCAGGGAGGUUGAGAGCGGGCGACACCCUCGGGGCCUGGGCUCCGUGUGCAUCGGCACCACAGACGAGCUGGAAUAACGCUGAUGAAGCUGGGUCCCUUGUCCUGCAGGUCAUUUCGAGUGGCUUGGCCAGCACUCCAGGCAGAUAAACAACUCCUCCUUUAACUUUCCCACCCUUGCUCCGCGUGGGGAACGUUUCUGUUUCCUUCGGGUUAAGCACAUCCUAGCGACAAGCCUUUUCCCACCAGACACCCAGCAAUUUUUUUCCCAAGGCCCGACGCUGCUGAGACACGGGCUCUGAACCAUGCCAUUUGCAGUCGCUGGUGUCCCGACUCUGUGGCUAUCCCAUCUUGGUGGUCGGGUCCCAGGAAGCGAUGACCUGCUGGAAGGUGGGAUGUGACACGCACUGAAGACGUGAGCUUUGAGCUGAGAACCUCCCCGUGCAGCCCCACAGCAGGACCAUGUGCCACCAAAGUCGCCGCUCAGGUGGGGUGGUAAAUCAUCGAAACUUUAAUGAAGAACCUUCUGAGGUGAAGGGUUCUUCUCCAGGGGUCAUGAAAAGAACACCGAGAGGAAACAGCAUGGAGAAAUAAGGAGAAAUGAGGACUGGAUCCCCUGCUGUGUCAAGAGCAUCUUUUGCAACUUGAUAUAUGCUAAACUUUGCAGUAUGGAUCAUUGUUGAGUUAAUGGGAGAAUUACAAUUCUCUAACUCUCCAUAACAGGUCUCAUUAAAUCGAAGCAGCAUUUGGUUCUUAGGAGCUCAGCAUUACAAAUCUAAUUAAGACUCCAUAAAAUAAAAUAAUUCAAGUCUGCAUUCAACCAUUCCAUUAUCUUACACGCUAUAUGAUUGCUGCUUUAUUAAACAACAACAAAGAAAAACAAGCUCCAAACGGAUCUGUCCGUUUGUUUGGGAGUUGGCAAAACAAUAUGAAACUCAAUCACUCACAACAAUGGGUUCCAUCUUCCGAGGAUUUUCAGCUGCAGUGUGCGUAAUGCUCGACAAACGGAUUCUCUGUGGGUUCGUGGAAUCUCAGAGACAGAAAAAGCAGAGACAGUCUCUCCAGGGACUGCCCCAUGGCUGCAUUCUUCCGGUUUGGGAUUCUACAGAUCAGAGAGUGGCUGGGUGGGCUGGUGAGUCAGAGCAUCUCAGGGCUAAAAUGGCUCCACAGGCAGCGGGGGUAGGGAGGCCAGAGCACACCCUGGGAGGAUAACCCGAGGGUACUAGAAAUGGGAUGGCUUGCUCAAACGGAUCAGAGACCCUCGGGAAAGUAAGACCCCCCUUAGGUCAAGGCUUCCUUUCCUUCCACGGGGAUGUUGCGAUGGCUUCUGUGUUAUGUACAGGGACACAUCUUAUUCACCUCUGCAUCCCCAGCUCCAGGAACCAUUGCUGCCAGUGAAUGAUACUGUGUCUACAAAACAAAGUAUCUGGAACCUAAAAUUAACUUUACAAAAGUCUUCAGCAGAUCAAAUUUGUCCACCGUGGUUCCCUCCAAACUCCCGGCAGAAACAAGCUCCCGUGCCUUCUGUGCAACUUAACUUGCAACAUAUGAUUGAAUGCAACCUUUCAGAGGUCUUCUUCCUCACAGAGAGUGAGGCUCACCCGGAGCUGGAGCCCAGCAAUAUCCUACGCCCAUCUCUGCUUCUAGCAUCUGAUGCUUCCUGGUUCCAAGCUAUGAAUGACCUGCAAAAAGGAUUCUGUCCUUGGCGAGAUCUACUGAUGGACUCCAGCUGUCCGAAUGUGGGUGGUUGUUAAAUGAGUCCUCUUCAUGGAGAAAUUCAGUGGAUUUUCUUUACUAUAAAUAUAUACAACCAGUGGAGUUGGCCCGGUGGCGCAGCAGUUAAGUU